AUGAACGCUGGCGGCGUGCCUAACACAUGCAAGUCGAGCGAAGCACUUUGCUUAGAUUCUUCGGAUGAAGAGGAUUGUGACUGAGCGGCGGACGGGUGAGUAACGCGUGGGUAACCUGCCUCGUACAGGGGGAUAACAGUUAGAAAUGACUGCUAAUACCGCAUAAGACCACAGCACCGCAUGGUGCAGGGGUAAAAACUCCGGUGGUAUGAGAUGGACCCGCGUCUGAUUAGCUAGUUGGUAAGGUAACGGCUUACCAAGGCGACGAUCAGUAGCCGACCUGAGAGGGUGACCGGCCACAUUGGGACUGAGACACGGCCCAAACUCCUACGGGAGGCAGCAGUGGGGAAUAUUGCACAAUGGGGGAAACCCUGAUGCAGCGACGCCGCGUGAGCGAAGAAGUAUUUCGGUAUGUAAAGCUCUAUCAGCAGGGAAGAAAAUGACGGUACCUGACUAAGAAGCACCGGCUAAAUACGUGCCAGCAGCCGCGGUAAUACGUAUGGUGCAAGCGUUAUCCGGAUUUACUGGGUGUAAAGGGAGUGUAGACGGAUGGGCAAGUCUGAUGUGAAAACCCGGGGCUCAACCCCGGGACUGCAUUGGAAACUGUUCAUCUAGAGUGCUGGAGAGGUAAGUGGAAUUCCUAGUGUAGCGGUGAAAUGCGUAGAUAUUAGGAGGAACACCAGUGGCGAAGGCGGCUUACUGGACAGUAACUGACGUUGAGGCUCGAAAGCGUGGGGAGCAAACAGGAUUAGAUACCCUGGUAGUCCACGCCGUAAACGAUGACUACUAGGUGUCGGGUGGCAAAGCCAUUCGGUGCCGCAGCAAACGCAAUAAGUAGUCCACCUGGGGAGUACGUUCGCAAGAAUGAAACUCAAAGGAAUUGACGGGGACCCGCACAAGCGGUGGAGCAUGUGGUUUAAUUCGAAGCAACGCGAAGAACCUUACCAAGGCUUGACAUAUACAGGAAUAUUUAAGAGAUUAAAUAGCUCUUCGGAGUCUGUAUACAGGUGGUGCAUGGUUGUCGUCAGCUCGUGGCGUGGGAUGUGGGGUGAAGGCCCGCAACGAGCGCAACCCCGAUCUGUAGUAGCCAGCGGCCAGGCCGGGCACUCUAGAGAGACUGCCGGGGAUAACCCGGAGGAAGGUGGGGAUGACGUCAAAUCAUCAUGCCCCUUAUGAGCAGGGCUACACACGUGCUACAAUGGCGUAAACAAAGGGAAGCGAGACCGCGAGGUGGAGCAAAUCCCAAAAAUAACGUCUCAGUUCGGAUUGUAGUCUGCAACUCGACUACAUGAAGCUGGAAUCGCUAGUAAUCACGAAUCAGAAUGUCGCGGUGAAUACGUUCCCGGGUCUUGUACACACCGCCCGUCACACCAUGGGAGUCAGUAACGCCCGAAGUCAGUGACCCAACCGUAAGGAGGGAGCUGCCGAAGGCGGGACCGAUAACUGGGGUG
rnacentral:rRNA from 1 species